rnacentral:rRNA from 1 species
GCUUCCUGAAAAGCAUGGGAAGUCGUGCCUUCCCAGUGGGCAUACGAGCCUAAACGGACGCGGUAAAUCGUGCUAAGGUAGCUAAAUUAUGGCCUAUUAAUUGUAGGUCCUGUGAAUGGUUUGACGAGUGUUCGACUGUCUCUAGGUUGUUUUGGUGAACUUGAAUUGAAUGUGUAAAUGCUUUCGUGGGUAAGAAAGACGAGAAGACCCCGUGAAGUUAAAAAUUUUAGCGUAUGAGAAUGUUAUUUCCUGUUGGUGAAGACCAAAAUGUUGUAAAGCUUGGUUGGCUUUUAAGUGGGGGAGUGUAGUGAUUGUUUUGGCUGGGGCAGCAAAAAGGCAAAUCUAGACCUUAAUUAGAGUUAAAACGGGUGCGUUACGACCCACAGAUAAAAAGGUGUGAUUAGCAGAAGGAGUUACUCCGGGGAUAACAGCGUUAUCCGUCCUGAGAGUUCUUAUUGGCGGACGGGUUUGCGACCUCGAUGUUGGCUCUUGAUAUCCUGGGGCUUGCAGUUGGUCCCAAGGGUUGGUUCGUUCGCCCAUUAAAAUCUG